CCUACGGGAGGCAGCAGUGAGGAAUAUUGGUCAAUGGCCGGAAGGCUGAACCAGCCAAGCCGCGUGAAGGACGACGGUGCCAAGCAUUGUAAACUUCUUUUGUCAAGGGACAAAAUCAGGCUCGAGAGCCUUAUCGUGGGUACUUUAUGAAAAAGCAUCGGCUAACUCCGUGCCAGCAGCCGCGGUAAUACGGAGGAUGCGAGCGUUAUCCGGAUUUAUUGGGGUUAAAGGGUGCGUAGGGGGACUGUUAAGUCAGCGGUAAAAGCUUGGGGCUCAACCCCGGAGUGUCGUUGAAACUGGCUGUCUUGAGAUGACGUGAGGUAGGCGGAAUGCGCGGUGUAGCGGUGAAAUGCUUAGAUAUUGCGAAGAACUCCGAUUGCGAAGGCAGCAUACCGGCGGCGAUCUGACGCUGAGGCACGAAAGCGUGGGUAUCGAACAGGAUUAGAUACCCGGGUAGUC
rnacentral:rRNA from 1 species